CAUUAAAUGACUGAAUGUAUAAGUUUUGAUCUUUUAAAUCAAAUAUAAUAGAAAUCUACUCUAUUUUUAAUG
rnacentral:tRNA from 1 species